rnacentral:tRNA from 1 species
GAGAAAUAAGUUUAUUUAGUAGAAUGUUUAUCUUAUAUAUAAAAUAUUAAAGGUUUAAAUCCUUUAUUUCUUG